rnacentral:lncRNA from 1 species
AUUCUUUCCAGCUCUCUCCCUCCAUUUCUCAAAUUAACUGUAAAAAACAGAAUAUCCCCUUCCUCACACUUCCAAUACCAUGGACAGACACAGAGAUGCAGAACUUAUGAGUUAGAAAUCGAGCAAUCGCACGACGGAGAUUAACAAUUCACCACUUCUGGAGAAAAAAACAACAACAAUAACAUUAGGGAUUAUCAUUCAGAUUCAACUAAGCAGUACGCAAAUGGCCGGAACCGAGCUCCCAUUAACGAGCCACUAACACUGACCUACCCAGAAAUUGAGCAAGCAAACCACGAACAUUAACGAUUCGCCACUUCUUCUUCAACCUUCAGAUUGGAGAAAAACAGCAAAACAACAGUAGGGAUGAUUAUCAAUUUUAUCAUUCAGAUUGAACUAAUCAAGUAGUCAAAAAGGAGGAUACACAGAGAAGCAGAACUGAGAUGAGAUAUUAACACUGACCUAACCAGAAAAUCCAAGAACAUGAACAAAUUCACCACUUCCUGCCUUCAGCCUUUCAGAUUGCGAGAAGCAAAGAAAAAGCAGCAAAUAGGGAUUAUUAUCAUUCAGAUUUCAACCAAGCAACGGUCAAAAACGGAGCUUCCAAAGCCAAUUAAUAGCAUCCGACAAGCAGUCAAGAACAAACGUUCCAAAGCCAAACCCCCGAUUCCAAUUUGGCUUCCUCCCUCCCUCCCUCCCUCUCGGUCCAACCAAAAGGAUAUGACUUUUCAGUUUUCACCCACUCCAAAA